AAUUUUGGACAAUGGGGGAAACCCUGAUCCAGCCAUCCAGCGUGUAUGAUGAAGGCCUUCGUGUUGUAAAGUACUUUUGGCAGAGAAGAAAAGGUAUCUCCUAUUACUAGAUACUGCUGACGGUAUCUGCAGAAUACGCACCGGCUAACUACGUGCCAGCCGCCGCGGUAAUACGUAGGGUGCAAGCGUUAAUCGGAAUUACUGGGCGUAAAGCGUGUGUAGGCGGUUCUGAAAGAAAGAUGUGAAAUCCCGGGGCUCAACCUUGGAACUGCAUUUAUAACUGCCGUGCUAGAGUAUUUCAGAGGGGGGUAGAAUUCCGCGUGUAGCAGUGAAAUGCGUAGAUAUGUGGAAGAAUACCAAUGGCGAAGGCAGCCCCCUGGGAUACUACUGACGCUCAGACACGAAAGCGUGGGGAGCAAACAG
rnacentral:rRNA from 1 species